UACGUAGGGACCAAGCGUUGUUCGGAUUUACUGGGCGUAAAGGGCGCGUAGGCGGCGCUGUAAGUCACUUGUGAAAUCUCCGGGCUUAACGUCGGAACGGUCAAGUGAUACUGCAGUGCUAGAGUGCAGGAAAGGGCAAUCGGAAUUCUUGGUGUAGCGGUGAAAUGCGUAGAUAUCAAGAGGAACACCUGAGGCGAAGGCCGGGGUUGCUAGGCUGACACUGACGCUGACAGCGCGAAAGCCAGGGGAGCAAACGGG
rnacentral:rRNA from 1 species